GGGAACAACAGCUGGAAACGGCUGCUAAUACCCCAUAGGCUGAGGAGCAAAAGGAGGAAUCCGCCCAAGGAGGGGCUCGCGUCUGAUUAGUUAGUUGGUGAGGCAAUGGCUUACCAAGGCGACGAUCAGUAGCUGGUCCGAGAGGAUGAUCAGCCACACUGGGACUGAGACACGGCCCAGACUCCUACGGGAGGCAGCAGUGGGGAAUUUUCCGCAAUGGGCGAAAGCCUGACGGAGCAAUGCCGCGUUUAGGCUUAAGGCCCACGGGUCAUGAACUUCUUUUCUCGGA
rnacentral:rRNA from 1 species